rnacentral:rRNA from 1 species
GAGUUUGAUCGUGGCUCAGAGCGAACGCUGGCGGCAGGCCUAACACAUGCAAGUCGAACGAUCCUUCGGGAUAGUGGCGGACGGGUGAGUAACACGUGGGAACGUGCCCUUUGGUACGGAACAACUCAGGGAAACUUGAGCUAAUACCGUAUGUGCCCUUUCGGGGGAAAGAUUUAUCGCCAUUGGAGCGGCCCGCGUCUGAUUAGCUAGUUGGUGAGGUAACGGCUCACCAAGGCGACGAUCAGUAGCUGGUCUGAGAGGAUGAUCAGCCACACUGGGACUGAGACACGGCCCAGACUCCUACGGAGGCAGCAGUGGGGAAUCUUGCGCAAUGGGCGAAGCCUGACGCAGCCAUGCCGCGUGAAUGAUGAAGGUCUUAGGAUUGUAAAAUUCUUUCACCGGGGACGAUAAUGACGGUACCCGGAGAAGAAGCCCCGGCUAACUUCGUGCCAGCAGCCGCC